AACUGAGACCGGCUUUUUGGGAUUCGCUCCACCUUACGGUAUCGCAGCCCUCUGUACCGGCCAUUGUAGCAUGCGUGAAGCCCAAGACAUAAGGGGCAUGAUGAUUUGACGUCAUCCCCACCUUCCUCCGAGUUGACCCCGGCAGUCUCCCAUGAGUCCCCGGCAUAACCCGCUGGCAACAUAGGACGAGGGUUGCGCUCGUUGCGGGACUUAACCCAACAUCUCACGACACGAGCUGACGACAACCAUGCACCACCUGUGUACGAGUGUCCAAAGAGAACCCCGUCUCGGGGGCUUUCUCGUACAUGUCAAGCCUUGGUAAGGUUCUUCGCGUUGCAUCGAAUUAAUCCGCAUGCUCCGCCGCUUGUGCGGGCCCCCGUCAAUUCCUUUGAGUUUUAGCCUUGCGGCCGUACUCCCCAGGCGGGGCACUUAAUGCGUUAGCUGCGGCACGGAACUCGUGGAAUGAGCCCCACACCUAGUGCCCAACGUUUACGGCAUGGACUACCAGGGUAUCUAAUCCUGUUCGCUCCCCAUGCUUUCGCUCCUCAGCGUCAGUUGCGGCCCAGAGACCUGCCUUCGCCAUCGGUGUUCCUCCUGAUAUCUGCGCAUUCCACCGCUACACCAGGAAUUCCAGUCUCCCCUACCGCACUCUAGUCUGCCCGUACCCGAUGCAAGCCCGAGGUUGAGCCUCGGGAUUUCACACCAGACGCGACAGACCGCCUACGAGCUCUUUACGCCCAAUAAUUCCGGACAACGCUUGCGCCCUACGUAUUACCGCGGCUGCUGGCACGUAGUUAGCCGGCGCUUCUUCUGCAGGUACCGUCACUUGCGCUUCUUCCCUGCUGAAAGAGGUUUACAACCCGAAGGCCGUCAUCCCUCACGCGGCGUCGCUGCAUCAGGCUUGCGCCCAUUGUGCAAUAUUCCCCACUGCUGCCUCCCGUAGGAGUCUGGGCCGUGUCUCAGUCCCAGUGUGGCCGGUCGCCCUCUCAGGCCGGCUACCCGUCGACGCCUUGGUAGGCCAUCACCCCACCAACAAGCUGAUAGGCCGCGAGCCCAUCCCCCACCGAAAAACUUUCCAACCCACACCAUGCGAUGCGAGCUCAUAUCCGGUAUUAGACCCCGUUUCCAAGGCUUAUCCCGAAGUGGAGGGCAGGUUGCUCACGUGUUACUCACCCGUUCGCCACUGAUCCACCCAGCAAGCUGGGCUUCACCGUUCGACUUGCA
rnacentral:rRNA from 1 species